CUUCUACUGGAGGUGAAUGCAAAUUGUCAUGUCUAGAGACCCUCUUUGUUGGUUCAAAGCCUAUGGUGUCUCUGUCAUUGGCAGAAUUACCUGGAAAUUCUGGGUAUAUAGUCCUUGCAAUGGGGGGACUAGAUAGCAAGGUUCAUCUUUACUGUGGAGAGAGGACUGGAAAGUUUAUUCAUGCUUGUGAGUUAAAAGCACAUACUGAUUGGAUCCGGAGUUUGGACUUCUCAUUACCUAUAUUUAUGGAUGGUGAGGCAAAUAGCAUUCUGCUAGUAAGUUCGUCUCAAGACAAAGGCAUACGCAUAUGGAAGAUGGCUUUAAGGGGUUCCAUAGCCAGUGAUGAGGGUACAUGCAAGAAAGAGGAAAUAAGUCUGGCAUCUUACAUUGAAGGUCCUGUACUCGUAACUGGCUCAUCCUCUUAUCAGAUAUCAUUAGAAUCUCUUCUAAUUGGACAUGAGGAUUGGGUGUACUCAGUAGAGUGGCAACCCCCUUCAACUGCAUCUGCCGAAGGGACCACCUAUCAUCAACCUCAAAGCAUUUUAUCUGCUUCAAUGGACAAGACCAUGAUGAUAUGGNNNNNNAAAGGAAAACUGGUAUCUGGAUGAAUGUGGUCACUGUUGGGGAGUUAAGUCAUUCUGCUCUAGGGUUUUACGGGGGUCACUGGAGCUCAGAUGGAAAAGCAAUUUUAGCACAUGGAUAUGGUGGAGCUUUCCAUAUGUGGAAAAAUGUUGGUGUCAACAUGGAUAAUUGGCAACCAGAAAAGGUUCCAUCUGGGCACUUUGCUGGAGUGACAGACAUUGCUUGGGCCAUGUCUAGUGAAUACAUAUUAUCAGUUAGUCAUGACCAGACAACUCGUAUUUUUGCCCCAUGGAAAAAUGAAGCUUCGUCUCCAAAUAGGGAGUCCUGGCAUGAAAUUGCUCGCCCUCAAAUUCAUGGUCAUGACAUUAACUGUGUCUCCAUCAUCCAAGGAAAGGGGAACCAUCGAUUUGUUAGUGGGGCAGAUGAGAAAGUUUCUAGAGUUUUUGAAGCUCCUUUAUCUUUUUUGAAGACAUUGAAUCAUGCCACUUCUCAUAGGUCUACUUCUCCUGAAGCCCUCCAAGUAGAUGUUCAGAUUUUGGGUGCGAAUAUGUCUGCUCUUGGUCUUUCACAAAAACCUAUUUACGUGCAGUCUGUUGAGACUCUAGACAGAAAUAUGAGCGAUGGUCUUGACACCCUUGAAAGCAUUCCUGAUGCAGUUCCAGUUGUAUUGACGGAACCUCCCAUUGAAGAUCAACUGGCAUACAAUACUCUAUGGCCAGAGUCUCACAAACUUUAUGGUCAUGGAAAUGAGUUGUUCUCUUUAUGCUGUGAUCAUGAGGGGAAGCUUGUGGCUUCAUCAUGCAAGGCCCAAUCAGCAUCAGUAGCAGAAAUAUGGCUAUGGCAAGUGGGUUCAUGGAAAGCAGUUGGUCGCCUGCAGUCUCAUAGCUUAACAGUGACACAGAUGGAAUUCUCUCAUGAUAACAGUAUGCUUUUGGCUGUCUCAAGAGAUCGUCAAUUCUCCAUUUUCACAAUCCAAAGAACAGGAGUGGAUGAGGUUGGUUAUCAGCUUCUAGCAAGGCAGGAGGCGCACAAAAGGAUUAUAUGGUCAUGUUCUUGGAAUCCAUUUGGUCAUGAAUUUGCAACUGGUUCCAGGGACAAGACAGUGAAGAUCUGGGCCGUAGAGAGAGAAUCUUCAAUAAAACAAUUGAUGACUUUGCCACAAUUCAAAAGCAGUGUCACUGCCUUGUCUUGGGUUGGUAUUGAUCGCCAAAGAAACCUCGGGUUACUAGCAGUUGGAAUGGAAGAUGGACUCAUUGAACUUUGGAGUCUUACUACCAGAAGAUCUGAGGAUGCAGCGCCAGGGGUAGCUGCUACACUUUCCAUACGGCUUGAUCCAUGCAUGUGCCAUGUAUCUUCUGUGAACCGUAUGUCUUGGAGAAACCACGAAAUGAGUGAAGAUUCCACGAGUUUGCAACUAGCUUCUUGUGGAGCUGAUCAUUGUGUGAGAGUGUUCGAGGUGAUUGUCAAUUAAUCACAUAAACGAAUCUGUAUAAUCUAUAGACAAUUUUGUAAUGCAUUGAUUAAUUUGUAGCUUGUUCCAAUCUUAUGACUCAUGACAACCU
rnacentral:misc_RNA from 1 species